UAAACCCAAUCAACCAUGGGUUUUUUCGAUCCAUCGGUUGACUUGGAUCUGGGCGUCUGCCGGUCACACGGCUCGCCUUAAAGAUGUUAGCGGGACCUGCUGCCUAUGACCUGACGUGAUAAGUUUCGUCUGACGUGGUGGCUCAUGCCUGCUCACAACCUGCCUCAGGGCGAUUUACUUUGU
rnacentral:misc_RNA from 1 species